GGUUCCCGCCUUCUGCCGCUCCCGUCUGGUCCCUGGGGGCCCGGGCACCUAACGGCUGGGGUGGGGCGAGUGCACCCGGCCUCACCUCCUCCUCUCUGCACCGACCGCAGCCAGGCCGGCGCCCCGCAAGGGAGAGGGCAGAGCCCGGGUGCUGCAUUCCGAGCCCGGGAUGACAGACUCAGCAGGUGGACCGGACCUCAGCUAGAUAACUUGUAGGGGUGACGGACACGAAAACAACAGCCUGUGUCCGGGACUAACGUACAUUGUGAGAGGAGGAAGCAGGUCUCAACUGGUCUUUGGACUGUGUUCCUGCUUUGAACAGGAAACUGUACCAGGCCCCCAGACCUUAGCACAGCUGACUCCAUGAUGGAAGUACCAUUCAGGCUGUAAAACUCAGAACCGAGCUGAGCACCCAGACAGCACCACCAGCCAAAAUGGAAAUAAAGACCUAAUCCAUCAAAGUCCACAGUUCUUCACAAGUCUCUAAAUAGACUAAGCCUUGUUUCUCGG